AAUCUUACUAAAUCAAGAAGUCUCCCAAGAAUCAACCCCAUCGAUUUCACUCUGGCUUUUUAUUUUAGUUUUCAAGAGUAGAGAAAAAUAUGUGUAACCAGAAUGUGUACAGGUUGCCUAAGAAGCAGGACAGCAAGAGAGAAUGAACCAAGAAUCAUCAGUCAAAAAUAAAUAAUUCCAACUAGAUCUAUGAGCAUAUCAAGUCAGGAUGGGAGAACUGAAACCAGGAAGCAGAGCAAUCAGAAUAAGACAUUGGAAGCAUCAGAGCAGGAGCAUCUUUGGGUCAGGAAUUUGGUCAUCUUUGGGACAGCAAGAAUGCCUCGCCUGUGGUCUGUGUUGUCUGCGGCAUCAACGAGGAGGACUCCAUGGCUGGAGAUGACUCACGAGUGCAAUACCAGAAACCUGGAUUAACACCAUGGGACCAGUAUGAAAUGCCACUGGUGAUGCUGAAAGCGCUCCCGAGAAGCAGAGAAAAGUCAUGACAUUAGAAGAAAAAGUUGGA
rnacentral:lncRNA from 10 species